GGAGAGGUGCCCGAGUGGUCGAAGGGGUCUCACUGCUAACGAGUUGUACCCGUUAAACGGUACCCAGGGUUCGAAUCCCUGCCUCUCCGCCA
rnacentral:tRNA from 1 species